AACGAACGCUGGCGGCAUGCCUAACACAUGCAAGUCGAACGAAGGCUUCGGCCUUAGUGGCGCACGGGUGCGUAACGCGUGGGAAUCUGCCCCUCGGUUCGGAAUAACAGUUAGAAAUGACUGCUAAUACCGGAUGAUGACUUCGGUCCAAAGAUUUAUCGCCGAGGGAUGAGCCCGCGUAAGAUUAGGUAGUUGGUGGGGUAAAGGCCUACCAAGCCGACGAUCCUUAGCUGGUCUGAGAGGAUGAUCAGCCACACUGGGACUGAGACACGGCCCAGACUCCUACGGGAGGCAGCAGUGGGGAAUAUUGGACAAUGGGCGAAAGCCUGAUCCAGCAAUGCCGCGUGAGUGAUGAAGGCCUUAGGGUUGUAAAGCUCUUUUACCCGGGAUGAUAAUGACAGUACCGGGAGAAUAAGCUCCGGCUAACUCCGUGCCAGCCGCCGCGGUAA
rnacentral:rRNA from 1 species